UUUCCAUCCAUUUCUUGGGCCUGAAUUAGAAGUCUCUGAAACUUUCUUAACCUAAAAUCAGGAAACAGAUUCCGCUUCAGCCGCCGCACCGCUCGUCUCCUCCCCGAGCGCCGCGCUGUCGCCUCCUCCUCCCCGAGCGCUGCGUCGUCGCCUCCUCCUCCCCGAGAUCUGCUGCGAAAAAUAAAGAAGCUAAUGGGUACAGACACAAGACAGUUUUAUAUUGGGACUCGAUCAACUUGGUGUUUGGGAAAGAUCAUGCAACCGGUGAAGCGGCAAAGACCCCAGCUGAUGGUGCGAGAGAUAUGAGUAAGGAAGAGGGAACCGGUAAAGAGCUUACUUCAUCAACAACCUCAGGAAGCUUGAAGAGGCAACGUUCCAGUGAUUCCUUCACCUCAAUGAUGGCGGAGAAAUUAGACAAGUUCACUGAAGCUAUUAGGGAUGAAGCACCAAAAGGCCCGACAUCAAAAGAAAUUUUUAGCACAUUGGAGGAGAUAGAUGGGUUAGAUGAAGACACAUUUUUAGACUUGUUUGAUAUCUUAACAGGUGAUGCGCGCAAGUACGAGUCCUUAUUGGCACUUCCAUUGAUUCUGAGGAAGAGAUGGCUGUUGAAGCAACUUAAAAAGUGAACCGAUUUGUGGUUGGGUGAAUUGAACUGGUGUUGGGUGUGUUGAUGUUGUUGUCUUAGUUUAUGUUGGGUGAAUUGAACAUCACAUUGAGUAGCAAGUAAUGUGUUCCAAUGAUAUGUGGACAUUUGAGACAAAUAUGCAUCAUUAUUACUAUUCUCGUGAUGCAUUCUGCUUGAUAAAUUGUAGGGUGAAAACUUGUGUAUUU